GCAUAUCAAUAAGCGGAGGAAAAGAAACCAACAGGGAUUGCCCCAGUAACGGCGAGUGAAGCGGCAACAGCUCAGAUUUGGAAUCUGGCCUUCGGGCCCGAGUUGUAAUCUGGAGAGGAUGCUUCUGGCGCGGUGCCUUCCGAGUUCCCUGGAACGGGACGCCGGAGAGGGUGAGAGCCCCGUACGGUUGGACACCUAGCCUCUGUGAAGCUCCUUCGACGAGUCGAGUAGUUUGGGAAUGCUGCUCAAAAUGGGAGGUAAAUUUCUUCUAAAGCUAAAUAUUGGCCAGAGACCGAUAGCGCACAAGUAGAGUGAUCGAAAGAUGAAAAGCACUUUGAAAAGAGAGUUAAAAAGUACGUGAAAUUGUUGAAAGGGAAGCGCCUGUGGCCAGACUUGCGCCGCGCGGACCACCCAGCGUUCUCGCUGGUGCACUCCGCGUGGCGCAGGCCAGCAUCGGUUUUCCUAGGGGGAUAAAGGUCGCGGGAACGUAGCUCCUCCGGGAGUGUUAUAGCCCGUGGCGUCAUGCCCCUGGGGGGACCGAGGACCGCGCUUCGGCAAGGAUGCUGGCGUAAUGGCCACCGGCGACCCGUCUUGAAACACGGACCAAGGAGUCAAGCAUUGGGGCGAGUGUCUGGGUGUCAAACCCGCACGCGAAAUGAAAGUGAACGCAGGUGAGAGCUUCGGCGCAUCAUCGACCGAUCCUGAUGUUCUCGGAUGGAUUUGAGUAAGAGCCUUACCGCUUGGACCCGAAAGAUGGUGAACUAUGCCUGUAUAGGGUGAAGCCAGAGGAAACUCUGGUGGAGGCUCGCAGCGGUUCUGACGUGCAAAUCGAUCGUCAAAUAUGGGCAUGGGGGCGAAAGACUAAUCGAACCAUCUAGUAGCUGGAUACCGCCGAA
rnacentral:rRNA from 1 species